AGUGGCGGACGGGUGAGUAACGCGUGAGAAUCUGCCUUGGGGUCGGGGACAACCACUGGAAACGGUGGCUAAUACCGGAUACGCCUUCGGGUAAAAGAUUUAUUGCCCUAAGAGGAGCUCGCGUCUGAUUAGCUAGUUGGUGAGGUAAGAGCUCACCAAGGCAGCGAUCAGUAGCUGGUCUGAGAGGACGAUCAGCCACACUGGGACUGAGACACGGCCCAGACUCCUACGGGAGGCAGCAGUGGGGAAUUUUCCGCAAUGGGCGAAAGCCUGACCGAGCAAGACCGCGUGAGGGAGGAAGGCUCUUGGGUUGUAAACCUCUUUUCUCAGGGAAGAAGCUCUGACGGUACCUGAGGAAUCAGCCUCGGCUAACUCCGUGCCAGCAGCCGCGGUAAUACGGAGGAGGCAAGCGUUAUCCGGAAUUAUUGGGCGUAAAGCGUCCGCAGGUGGCGAUUCAAGUCUGCUGUCAAAGCACGGGGCUUAACUCCGUAAAGGCAGUGGAAACUGAAUAGCUAGAGUGCCGUAGGGGUAGAGGGAAUUCUCGGUGUAGCGGUGAAAUGCGUAGAGAUCGGGAAGAACAUCGGUGGCGAAAGCGCUCUACUGGACGGCAACUGACACUCAGGGACGAAAGCUAGGGGAGCGAAUGGGAUUAGAUACCCC
rnacentral:rRNA from 1 species